UUAAAUUGAAGAGUUUGAUCAUGGCUCAGAUUGAACGCUGGCGGCAGGCCUAACACAUGCAAGUCGAACGGUAACAGGAAGCAGCUUGCUGCUUCGCUGACGAGUGGCGGA
rnacentral:rRNA from 8 species